rnacentral:snoRNA from 1 species
CUUCAAUGAAGAGAUGAUGACGAGUCUGACUGGGGGUGUUAUUUUUGUCCAGGUGACCAGGACUCUGUGCUGCGUUCUGCGGCAUAGUUUUUAAGGUCCUUGGAUCAAAGUAACUUCCAAACGAUGACCUAGAGGCAUUUGUCUGAGAAGG